UACGGAGGGUGCAAGCGUUAUCCGGAUUUAUUGGGUUUAAAGGGUCCGUAGGCGGACUGAUAAGUCAGUGGUGAAAUCCGACAGCUUAACUGUCGAACUGCCAUUGAUACUGUCAGUCUUGAGUAAGGUUGAAGUGGCUGGAAUAAGUAGUGUAGCGGUGAAAUGCAUAGAUAUUACUUAGAACACCAAUUGCGAAGGCAGGUCACUAAGUCUUAACUGACGCUGAUGGACGAAAGCGUGGGGAGCGAACAGG
rnacentral:rRNA from 1 species